rnacentral:rRNA from 1 species
UACGUAGGGUGCGAGCGUUGCCCGGAUUUAUUGGGCGUAAAGGGCGCGUAGGCGGCCACGCACGUCCGUUGUGAAAUCGCCCGGCUCAACUGGGCGGGGUCAGCGGAUACGGUGUGGCUCGAGCAAGCUAGGGGGCAAUGGAAUUCCCGGUGUAGUGGUGGAAUGCGUAGAUAUCGGGAGGAACACCAGUGGCGAAGGCGGUUACCUGGAGCUUUGCUGACGCUGAUGCGCGAA